GAGGUGAGGACUAUCUUGCCGUGACAUUUUUCACCCCAAUGGUUUCUAGGAUUGAUUUGGUUUAUUUGGUUGGCUAAGUGGGUAUCCCCUUCCUCCUUUACCAUCCCGUGUGUCCCUCUUGAAGCUGUGUACUCUGUCAAAGAAUACCACCAUUCCCCAAUGGAGAAAGACUGUUCCCUCUGCAAAGUGUAUAUGAGUAGCUAUGUUCCCCUGCUAGAACCUAAAAACAAACUUUCAAAGUAAGAAAUAACAUUCUUGAAAGAGCAAGGAAGUUUACAAACUGACUGCAGUCACUAGAAAGAUUUAUUUAGCUCACAGUUUGUAAAGGUUU
ensembl:misc_RNA 7SK 7SK RNA